CGUGGCGUAGAGGUUAGCGUAUCCGCCUUUGACGCCGAAUGCCUGGGUUCAAAUCCCGCGCG
rnacentral:tRNA from 1 species